AAAAAACUAGUUAAUUCAUAACAUAAGAAUGUCACUCUUAAAUAACUUAAAGUGUUUUUUU
rnacentral:tRNA from 1 species